AUACGUAGGUGGCAAGCGUUAUCCGGAAUUAUUGGGCGUAAAGCGCGUCUAGGCGGCUUAGUAAGUCUGAUGUGAAAAUGCGGGGCUCAACCCCGAACUGCGUUGGAAACUGCUAAACUAGAGUACUGGAGAGGUAGGCGGAACCACAAGUGUAGAGGUGAAAUUCGUAGAUAUUUGGAGGAAUGCCGAUGGGGAAGCCAGCCUACUGGACAGAUACUGACGCUAAAGCGCGAAAGCGUGGGUAGCAAACAGGAUUAGAUACCCUGGUAGUCCACGCCGUAAACGGUGAUUACUAGGUGUUGGGGGUCGAACCUCAGCGCCCAAGCUAACGCGAUAAGUAAUCCGCCUGGGGAGUACGUACGCAAGUAUGAAACUCAAAUGAAUUGACGGGG
rnacentral:rRNA from 1 species